CCUACGGGUGGCAGCAGUGGGGAAUAUUGCACAAUGGGGGAAACCCUGAUGCAGCGACGCCGCGUGAGUGAAGAAGUAUCUCGGUACGUAAAGCUCUAUCAGCAGGGAAGAAAAUGACGGUACCUGACUAAGUAGCCCCGGCUAACUACGUGCCAGCAGCCGCGGUAAUACGUAGGGGGCCAGCGUUAUCCGGAUUUACGGGGUGUAAAGGGAGCGUAGACGGCAGCACAAGUCUGGAGUGAAAUCCCGGGGCUUAACCCCGGAACUGCUUUGGAAACUGUGCGGCUGGAGUGCAGGAGGGGUAAGCGGAAUGCGUAGUGUAGCGGUGAAAUGCGUAGAUAUUAGGAGGAACACCGGUGGCGAAGGCAGCUUACUGGACUGUAACUGACGUUGAGGCUCGAAAGCGUGGGGAGCAAACAGGAUUAGAUACCCGUGUAGUC
rnacentral:rRNA from 1 species